rnacentral:rRNA from 1 species
UACAGAGGUCUCGAGCGUUGUUCGGAUUCAUUGGGCGUAAAGGGCGCGUAGGCGGCGGGGCAAGUCGGGUGUGAAAUCUCAGAGCUCAACUCUGAAACUGCAUUCGAUACUGCCGUGCUUGAGGACUGGAGAGGAGACUGGAAUUUACGGUGUAGCGGUGAAAUGCGUAGAUAUCGUAAGGAAGACCAGUGGCGAAGGCGGGUCUCUGGACAGUUCCUGACGCUGAGGCACGAAGGUCAGGGGAGCAAACGGG